rnacentral:rRNA from 1 species
AGCUUGCUUGGUGGAUCAGUGGCGAACGGGUGAGUAACACGUGAGCAACCUGCCCUGGACUCUGGGAUAAGCGCUGGAAACGGCGUCUAAUACUGGAUAUGAGCCCCUAUCGCAUGGUGGGGGUUGGAAAGAUUUUUUGGUCUGGGAUGGGCUCGCGGCCUAUCAGCUUGUUGGUGAGGUAAUGGCUCACCAAGGCGUCGACGGGUAGCCGGCCUGAGAGGGUGACCGGCCACACUGGGACUGAGACACGGCCCAGACUCCUACGGGAGGCAGCAGUGGGGAAUAUUGCACAAUGGGCGAAAGCCUGAUGCAGCAACGCCGCGUGAGGUA